UUUAAUCUUCAGGGCAGGGUGAAAUUCCCGAUCGGCGGUAAAGUCCGCGAGCUAAUAAAACGUUAGCAGGAACUGGUGAAAUUCCAGUACCGACAGUAUAGUCUGGAUGGAAGAAGAUAAAA
rnacentral:ncRNA from 2 species